rnacentral:rRNA from 1 species
UUGUAAUUUGUAGAGGAUGCUUUUGGCAAGGCGCCGCCCGAGUUCCCUGGAACGGGACGCCACAGAGGGGGAGAGCCCCGUCUGGCUGGCCGCCGAGCCUCUGUAAAGCUCCUUCGACGAGUCGAGUAGUUUGGGAAUGCUGCUCAAAAUGGGAGGUAUAUGUCUUCUAAAGCUAAAUAUUGGCCAGAGACCGAUAGCGCACAAGUAGAGUGAUCGAAAGAUGAAAAGCACCUUGAAAAGAGGGUUAAAUAGUACGUGAAAUUGUUGAAAGGAAAGCGCUUGUGACCAGACUUGGGCGCGGCGGAUCAUCCGGGGUUCUCCCCGGUGCACUUCGCCGCGUCCAGGCCAGCAUCAGUUCGUCGCGGGGGAAAAAGGCUUCGGNAACGUGGCUCCCCUGGGAGUGUUAUAGCCCGUUGCAUAAUACCCUGCGGUGGACUGAGGACCGCGCAUCUGCAAGGAUGCUGGCGUAAUGGUCACCAGCGACCCGUCUUGAAACACGGACCAAGGA